rnacentral:tRNA from 1 species
GGGGAUUUAGCUCAGUGGAAGAGCACUUGCCUGGCAAGUGCAAGACCCUGAGUUCAGUCCUCA